CUGCCUGUUCCUGAUAUCAGCAGAGACUGUACACAAAACUCUUUAUUAGUCUCAAAAUGUGUGUUGUUGUGUUCAGUGUUGAAUGUGAGAGAUGUGAGUCUGUCCUGGUACAAAGGAAACAGUUUAUUGUCCAUCGUCAGUGUGUCUGAUCUCAACAUCAGACUCUCUCUACCUCUGGAGGUUGAAUAUCAGGAUACAAACAAAUACAGCUGUGUACUCAACAAUCCCAUCACAAACCAAACUCAACAUCUCAACAUCACUCAACUCUGUCAGCCGUGUUCAGCUCUCACCUUCAUUCUGAUCUGUUGUGUUGUUGUUGGAUCUCUGAUGAUUGUCACUUCAGGUCUGAUCUUCUGGAUCUGUAGGAAACACACAAACACACAGCAACAGGUUCAAACCAGAGGAGAGGAAAUCACUUAUGCAAAUCCAACAUGGUAUUAAAGAGCAGCACAUUAACAGGGAUCUGCAGUAGAGGAUGAUGUGGUGUAUGCAGGAGUCAAGAGACGAUAAACAAACUCUCUGUGAUUCUCAGAUCAACAUUCAGCUGUUUAAUCAUCUUCACUUUCAGUUAUAACUUUACAUAAAGCGCUUAUUACAUUUAAGAUGUCUGUGUUCUCUCUGACUUUCAAGAUUUGUUACUUCUCCUUUGAAUUCUGAAGCAUAAUACACGCUAACAACGUUAAAUGCAAGCAUAUAUCAACAAUAUUUCACCAUGUUUUAAAUAAUGUUUAUAGACAACAGUUUAAAGAAAGACAGAACUGUACAUUAUCAGAAACAACUAAAGUAUUUGAUUUUAAAACACAAACUAUGUCUAAAUUUAAUUUUUCUAACUGAAUGCAUCUGACUUUAACAGGUUCAUUCGGGUUCAAGCGAUGCCUGAUGUGGAAAGAAAUGUGGUUUUGUUAUACUGGUGGACGUGAAAUGUGCGUUUUUAUUUAACUGUAUGUGGUUAAUGUGUAUAUGUGUGUGCAUGUGAGAGGCAUGAACAGUGUGUUUCUGUAAAUACUGUCUGACUUUAUUCACUGUACACAAAGCAUUUGAAUUCACCUAUGCUAAUGUUUACCAAAUAAAAGAUUGCUUUAAAUCAAACAGUACUGUUAUAUUCGUAUGCAAAAGUUUAAGAACCCCUGACAAUUUCCAUGAUUUUCAUUUAUAAAUAUUUGGGUGUUUAGAUUUUUUUUUUAUUGGCAGUCAGGUCUGUGUCUGUCCCAGUUCAAUUACUUUGGGUCACAGGUCUAAUUCUCAUUGUGUGUAAAACCCGAGUCGAUUGGAGAACGGCCGUGAUCAGAGUCAGUCAGUGCUAACGCGCCUAAGCUCAUGUGCAGUUUCAAGUGUGCCUCUGGUUUCUAUGGUGAUACUGACUCUUGUUUUGAAACUAGCUUAC